rnacentral:rRNA from 1 species
GAUGAACGCUGGCGGCGUGCCUAAUACAUGCAAGUCGAGCGAACAGACGAGGAGCUUGCUCCUCUGACGUUAGCGGCGGACGGGUGAGUAACACAUGGAUAACCUACCUAUAAGACUGGGAUAACUUCGGGAAACCGGAGCUAAUACCGGAUAAUAUAUUGAACCGCAUGGUUCAAUAGUGAAAGACGGUUUUGCUGUCACUUAUAGAUGGAUCCGCGCCGCAUUAGCUAGUUGGUAAGGUAACGGCUUACCAAGGCAACGAUGCGUAGCCGACCUGAGAGGGUGAUCGGCCACACUGGAACUGAGACACGGUCCAGACUCCUACGGGAGGCAGCAGUAGGGAAUCUUCCGCAAUGGGCGAAAGCUUGACUGAGCAACGCCGCGUGAGUGAUGAAGGUCUUCGGAUCGUAAAACUCUGUUAUUAGGGAAGAACAAAUGUGUAAGUAACUAUGCACGUCUUGACGGUACCUAAUCAGAAAGCCACGGCUAACUACGUG